GGCCCUAUGGUGUAAUGGUCAGAACGCUGGACUCUGAAUCCAGCGAUCCGAGUUCAAAUCUCGGUAGGACCU
rnacentral:tRNA from 1 species